AAAACUUUCAACAACGGAUCUCUUGGUUCCCGCAUCGAUGAAGAACGCAGCGAAAUGCGAAAACUAAUGUGAAUUGCAGAAUUCCGUGAAUCAUCGAGUCUUUGAACGCACAUUGCGCCCUUUGGUAUU
rnacentral:rRNA from 3 species